GUGGUUGGGGUGAGGACUGGAUUGGUGGUGUCAACAUCUUCAGAAUGAUGAAAGACUUUAGGCCAGAGGUGACUUUCAAGAUCUCCCUUCAUCUGUCUUUCUUUCUUCAGCUUGAGACAGUUGCCUUGUGUGGACCUGAGAAAGAAAACAAGGAUUUUCAAGUCUCCAAUUCCUGUUAAGAUUUUCUAUCAUGAGUCUUAGAUCCUUGCAUUGCUGAGGAAAGCUAAGUCUAUCAAAAUCAGUCAUCGCACAGCGUGGUUGUUACCCUGUACAAUGUUCGCCUGGUUCUACUCACUUCACUCAUCUUCAAUUCAUGAUACAGCCCUAGAAAUGGUGUCUCCCUCACAGAGAAUGGUGAAACUCUGGGGACUCUGGAACUAGAGAGAUGUUGGUUUAAAGGGAGCCAAGCAAAGAGUGUGUGUAUGUGAGUGGUUGGGGUGAGGAUUGGAUUGGUGGAGGGUCAGGUUCUUCAGAAUGAUGAAAGAUUUUAAGGCAGAGGUGACAUUGAAGAUCUCCCUUAAUCUAUCUUUCUUUCUUCAACUCAAGACAAUUACCUAGUCUGGACCUGAGAAAGAAAACAAGGAUAUUCAAGUCUCCAAUUCCUGUUAAGGUGUCCUCAACCAGAGGAGGCUGCAUAUUCAGCACUUUCUGUUGACCAAUAUGGUGUUUGUAGAAAAACAAUUGAAUUAGGAAUGAUAGGAUAGAGGUUCAACUUUCAAUUUUGCCCCUUCCUAUCUUUAUGACCUUAGAAAAAUCUCUUAACAUUAUUGGUCAUCAGUUUCCUAUUCUGUAAAAUAAAGGAGAUUCUAAGAUCCCUUUAACUUUAUGCUCUCCAUAAAAUUUGGAGUUUAAUGGUAUUUUUAGCCGGGGUGAUCAGACUAGAUCAAGGUGAGGACAAAGGGUAGGGAGCAGUUGGUGGGAUCAUGAGAGACCUGGGACCAGGACUCAGGUGGAGGUUGGGUGGGGGGAUGGAAUGUAUAGGGGCAGGGGCACUAGGACCUGCCCAGAUUGUUGUCAGUAAAGUUGUUUUGCUGAUUUCAAAGUGCUAUAGUCAGGCAAUGAAGGGAGAUCUGCCUGCUGUGUUCAGCUUGAGGCACUGCCUGAGCCCUUCACCCUAAAAUGGGGUAAGGACAGUGAGGAGGAGCUGGAGGAAAGGCCAUCUUAAACCCCCCAAAAAGAGAAGAGGGAUUGAGCAGAGCCUAGAUGGCACAGUAAAGUUGGAGACUCACCUGAGCUCUUCCAAAUUUCCUUUUAAACAAUUCUCAGAACCAACAAAUGGUCAAGGUGAAACAAUUUUCCAGCCCAGUACAACUUACAAGGGUUGUAGGAAAGGUGUCAAGUGGUGGUGGUCAGACUUGGAGCCCAGAGAAGACAACAGCAGGUCUUGGAGAUAGUUCACCUUCUUCGUCAUCACCAUCACCAUCAUCACCAUCACCCAUCAUCAUCAUCAUCAUCAUCAUCAUCAUCACCAUCACCAUCACCA